rnacentral:rRNA from 1 species
UACGAAGGGGGCUAGCGUUGUUCGGAAUCACUGGGCGUAAAGGGCGCGUAGGCGGCUUUGUAAGUCGGGGGUGAAAGCCUGUGGCUCAACCACAGAAUUGCCUUCGAUACUGCAUGGCUUGAGACCGGAAGAGGUAAGUGGAACUGCGAGUGUAGAGGUGAAAUUCGUAGAUAUUCGCAAGAACACCAGUGGGCGAAGGGCGGCUUACUGGUCCGGUUCUGACGCUGAGGCGGCGAAAGCGUGGGGAGCAAACAGGG